rnacentral:rRNA from 1 species
UAGGGAAUCUUCGGCAAUGGGGGCAACCCUGACCGAGCAACGCCGCGUGAGUGAAGAAGGUUUUCGGAUCGUAAAGCUCUGUUGUAAGUCAAGAACGAGUGUGAGAGUGGAAAGUUCACACUGUGACGGUAGCUUACCAGAAAGGGACGGCUAACUACGUGCCAGCAGCCGCGGUAAUACGUAGGUCCCGAGCGUUGUCCGGAUUUAUUGGGCGUAAAGCGAGCGCAGGCGGUUUGAUAAGUCUGAAGUUAAAGGCUGUGGCUCAACCAUAGUUCGCUUUGGAAACUGUCAAACUUGAGUGCAGAAGGGGAGAGUGGAAUUCCAUGUGUAGCGGUGAAAUGCGUAGAUAUAUGGAGGAACACCGGUGGCGAAAGCGGCUCUCUGGCUUGUAACUGACGCUGAGGCUCGAAAGCGUGGGGAGCAAACAGGAUUAGAUACCCUGGUAGUCCAUGCCGUAAACGAUGAGUGCUAGGUGUUGGAGGGUUUCCGCCCUCCAGUGCCGGAGCUAACGCAUUAAGCACUCCGCCUGGGGAGUACGACCGCAAGGUU